rnacentral:snRNA from 1 species
GUGCUCGCUUCGGCAGCACGUACACUAAAAUUGGAACAAUAUAGAGAAGAUUAGCAUGGCCCCUGCGCAAGGAAGACGCACAAAUUCGUGAAGCAUUCCAUAUUUUU